rnacentral:rRNA from 1 species
GACAGAGGGUGCAAACGUUAUUCGGAAUCACUGGGCUUACAGAGUUCGUAGGCGGUCUGGAAAGUUGGGUGUGAAAUCCCUCGGCUCAACCGAGGAACUGCGCUUGAAACUACCAGACUCGAGGGAGAUAGAGGAAAGCGGAACUGAUGGUGGAGCGGUGAAAUGCGUUGAUAUCAUCAGGAACACUGGUGGCGAAGGCGGCUUUCUGGGUCUUACCUGACGCUGAGGAACGAAAGCCAGGGGAGCGAACGGG